rnacentral:rRNA from 1 species
CGGAGGUGCGAGCGUUAAUCGGAAUAACUGGGCGUAAGGGCACGCAGGCGGUGACUUAAGUGAGGUGUGAAAGCCCCGGCUUAACCUGGGAAUUGCAUUUCAUACUGGGUCGCUAGAGUACUUUAGGGAGGGUAGAAUUCCCACGUGUAGCGGUGAAAUGCGUAGAGAUGUGGAGGAAUACCGAAGGCGAAGGCAGCCCCUUGGGAAUGUACUGACGCUCAUGUGCGAAAGCGUGGGAGCAAACAGGAUU